CCUUACCUACAAUGAAAUGCACAGAUCUUAAGUGUUUAUUUUGAUGCGUUUUGAAGAAUUCAGCCCACAACCCUUUCAAGAUAGAAGACAUCUUCUUCAUCCUACAAGGUUCUUUCUUAUCCUCUACGAGUCGAUCCCCCCGCCCUUCACAGAGGCAACCACUGUUCUGAUUUCCGUUGACAUAAAUAUCUGUACCUGUUAAAGCUCCCCAGGAGUUCUGGCUUCUCUCUUUAUGCUGCACACCUUCCCUGGAGUAAACCCUUCCCUGGAGUCAGCCAUCACUUUUGUGCUGAGGGCUCCUGAAUCCUGCUCCCACCUCUCUGGAUUCAGUCUAGUGCCUGCUGGACACCUUCACUUGACCCUGUCAUCCUUCGAAAACUUCCCACCUCAGGCGGGACUCAAACCCACAAUCUCCCAGCUGAAACAGUACACCUCCUGUCAGAACUUAUGAAGCUGAGGUUCUUUAUGUCUCGGCAUAGAAGGAAUUCAGGGAGAGGCAAAGAGAUAGGUAAGAAGUAGAUCUAUUGAGAGAGACAUGACAUGAGUUUGAGUAGGCUCCAGGGCCUGGCGUGCUGCAAAGAGUCGGACACAGCUGAGCGACUGAACUGAACACGCUCCAUAAAAAGUGUGGGCCAUCUCUGAAAGAGCACUGGGAAAUAUAAUGUGGUAAGUUUUUAUGGGCUGAGUAAUUUCAGAGGGUAACAAUUGGGAGGAUUAUUCUAACUACUUAGGGAAGGGGUGAGGAUUUCCAGAAAUUGGGCCACUGCCCCCCUUUUUGGCCUUUUAUGGUCUGCCUCAGAAGUGUCAUGGUACCUGUGGGUGUGUCCUUCAACAUGUUAAUAUACAGGAUGGGCAUGUAAUAAGGUUUAAGGUCUACUGGAAGUUGAAUCUUCUGCCAUCUUGGGCCUGAACGGUUCUAACCAUUUUUCUCUCCUAUCCAGUUCUCAGUAGCUGCAUCAUUCUUGUAAAGGUUGUGCCCUGUCCCCUUCCCUCUUGUCUCAUUUCCUUCCCAGUCUUCUGCACUCUCAGUUAGAGGCCAAGCUGAGGCUUGGAUUCAUCUUGACUCUUUCCCCUUCCUCGCUUCCCAUUUCUAGUCACCAAGUUCACUCAAUUUCAUUUCCUUCAUAAUUCUCCUGUUAGCCCUCAUUCCCUAUUCCCACUGCCAUCUCGCUGGAUGACUGUAGUAGACUCCUCCCUAAUGUCUCUGUCUCCAGAACAGUCAAAGAGAAUCAUCUUUUAAAAUGCUAACAUGAUUCCAUCAUGCUGUGGCUUAAAAUCAAUGCCCCAUUGAAACUGCACAACUCAGACGGGAUUCAAACCCAGCCAAAACUGAUUGGGACUUGAACCCUUGGGUUAGGACUUGAACCCACUGUCUUCUAGUUUAAAUUGCUCACCUGGUGUGAAAAACUGGUGGGAAAUGUUCAAUGGUUGCUUCAGUCUGCAUACUCCUGAACCCGAAGCUCAGAUUAAACACCAGAAAAAGAGAGACAAGCAAACGUGGUGUGCUGCCUGUUAAAAGCCCAAGGCACUAGUCAUGUACAUUUUCAAGACAAAGGAUCCUACAUCAAAAUGCCAUACUGAUAAUUUACAUAAGGUUUACCAAGGUAACAGUCCAAGUAAGCAUUUACAAAGUGAGCAACAAGUCACCAUGACUCCCGACCCUCUACAGAGUUGAGAAAGAAUGCUAUUCUUUUAAGUUUUAAGAAGUAACAACAGCAAAUAAAAGUUACACUGUAGCAUUAGAAGAAAGGGGAAAAAAUUGAUCUGUAUAGUUGAGCAGUCACUCCCAUCUGGUUAAUAUGUAACGCAGGUGCACACUGCACGUUAGGGAGGGAAGGAAGAGGCCCAAACAAACACAGAGAGAGAAUUUUAUGUUCAGUUUUUCUUAUCCUGCCUUUAAAUAUAAAUUUUGUUUUAUCACCAGAGUGAGGGAAUUCAAGGCUAAGAUAGCUACAUAACAAACUUUGCUAUUUCUUUAGUUUGCUACCCCAAGCACAAACCCCUUUGUUAAUUCUUCACAAACAAUAUUUCUUUGUCAAAAAACAACAUAUAAACAGC